UACAGAGGGUGCAAGCGUUGUUCGGAAUUAUUGGGCGUAAAGCGCGUGUAGGCGGCAGUGCAAGUCGGGUGUGAAAGCCCUCAGCUCAACUGAGGAAGUGCGCCCGAAACUGCAUUGCUUGAGUGCCGGAGAGGAUGGCGGAAUUCCCGAAGUAGAGGUGAAAUUCGUAGAUAUCAGGAGGAACACCGGUGGCGAAGGCGGCCAUCUGGACGGAUACUGACACUGAGACGCGAAAGCGUGGGUAGCAAACAGG
rnacentral:rRNA from 1 species